CCCAAGCAGGCUCCAUGCUGUCAGUGCAGAGCUGGACACGGGGUUCGAACCCACGAACCAUGAGAUCAUGACCUGAGCCAAAAUCAAGAGUCAGACGCUGAACCGGGUGAGCCUGUCAGGAGCCCCGACUCCGGAGUAUGGCCGGAGUCGCAAAAGAUGAGUCCGCAAACAAAAAUGCAGUUAGGCGAAGGUCCUCAUGCUCGAGCGGGAAUGAGGCCCGGACUCCAGAACGAAGCUUCUUUUUAUCAGGAUAAUCGCUAAAAACUACGUGCGUCAAGUCAGCUCCGCAAGCGUGUGAAUCAAUCUAAUGGUUUAGCUUUUCAAGGUCGGGUUCCGAGUUCAUUGGUUUCUAUGACACUAGGAAGGGUCAGGUGUGAAGGAGGGUCCGGCCCUGGACAACGUUAACGGCUCUAGGUGCUCCUUACCGGCCGCAGGGCGUUCAGCUGUGUAAACAUGUCCUAAGGCCUUGCGCCUUCUCCAGCCCUUCCCUUUGGAAGUCUUUUCCUUUGAUGCUUCUCUCCUGCCUCUCCCACACCCUCUCACAGAUUUCUGAUGCGUUUUCCCCCCGUCAGAGUCCUAGAAAGGUCCUACGACAAGCAAACAAAGUUCACUCUCCCAGAAGUCUGUGCGCACGGGAUCGCUUUACAAACAACGUCUAUUAACAGCCUUUGGAAACUAGAGUCCGUGGAAAAGGCGUGAGAAGCCGCAGCUGCGGGGCACGUGGCGCGGAGGAGGCCCGUGGCCAGGGUCUCCCGCCGGGGCCUCUCGGGCUGGGAGCUGGCGUCCUCGGGCCACCCGGUGCUGAUGGGGAGGAGGCUGGUGGUGACAGGUGGCGACGAUGACAGCCGAUGCCUGGCGUUGUCCUCACUGCUUCACUCACUAGCCCGGUUCACUCCCCCGGCGGUGCGGAGGGGAGCGCAGGUGUGAAGGCACUGGGUGCCGUUCUCACCCCCGCCGCCGGGCACAGAGUGGCCGCGAGACAAACGCCGCCUCCGGCCGCCGCGCGGCCACGAGCUGGAGCGCACACCGGCUGAUGUGGGGCCUUGGGUCUGCUGCCCUCACCCCUGGCGCUCCUGAUUGUCCUUCGUCGCUUUCCAGGAGGAGACACGUGACUUCCACGCCCCAUUUCCACUGCCUUCCACCUCUUAAGUCUUUCUUGCGUCCCUUCUGUCGCACAAUCUCCUCACGUGGCCUCACUCCACUCUCUCUUCUGACCGCUUCCGGUUUAAGGACCUCGUGAUGACACUGGUCCCACCUGGGCCAUCCGGGAUGACCUCCCCAUGUCCCGUCCUUGGCUCAUCUGCAGUGUCUUUCGCCACGAAAGUGACGUCCUCAGUUUCCAGAGACGGGGAUGCAGACAAGCAGGGGCUCUGUGUUCUUGGCCACGACAGAUCUCGGAGACCCCGCGGCACCUCCUGCGAGCGCCGCGCUCCAGAAUCCCGGCACCGUCGCACGGUCGCAAGCGGCGGCCCUGACGUUUGUCCUUAAAAAGCGGCGCAGGAACAGCGGUUUGGUUGGAAGCAGGUGGCCUGAGUCUGCAUCUGUGGAGUCCCUUCCCUAAGCCUGAGGAAAUGUCACUUGUCCACACAUCAUCUCAGGACAGUGAGGGCAGUGGACUCUGUGGAGUGAACCGGGGACCCAGAGCCGCCCCGUGGUGACCCCGGGGCCCAGCGUGGACGGUCCCCCAGGGCUCACUCCCACCCCGGCCCGGACCCGUCCAGCAUCACCUGCACCGCAGGACGGGGAGGCGGGCGGCCAUGGCCAGACCUCCCGGAGCCUGUCACUGAUUCCCGGAGGGGUCACGGAGUGUCUCCACCACGAAGGCGCGUGGCUGCACCGUCGUGGCUGGGCCACCACAGACUUUAGGACCGCCCACCGAAGGACCACAAAGCUAGCGACACACUGAGAGGUGGCACGAAGGACCGUAAGGUGCGUGACGAGCAGGACGACAGAGCGGAAGGAGCGACGUCACAAGGGAGGUCCGGCGGAAGAGCAGGCGGCCACCAGGCAAAGGAGGGAACAUUCUAGACAAAGGGAACAGCAUCUGCAAGGACCCCGAGGCAGACAAGAGCUGGUCUCACGGGUGCCAUGUGCCAGUGUGAGUGGAGGGGUGAGGGGUGGCGGGAGGCGGCCAGGUCCCUGCAGGGGUGAGGGGCCCAGCCUGGCCACGGGCCCAGGAGCAGCAGGGAGCCACAGUGAGUUUCCAGCGUCUGCUUGCCUUGCCGCCUGUGGACUCGAACCCCUCCCGCCGCGAUGGAGGGAGGCAGGGAGGGAGGAAGAAGAAACAGCAAGACCCACCAGAGGCCGUGGUGGCCCCGAGUGAGGCGACAGGGAGGGGAGGGGGGCUCUCCGCCUGGUGGGAAGACUUCGGUCUGGUGCGCCCACUCUCCCUAUUUGGGGAACCAGGGCCCCCUUCCAGCCUUCCUCCCGGGAUGUCGGGUGAGCAAGGGGGUUUGCUUUGAGGGGAGGCCGAGCCGUGCCCCUGCGGCUUCUCCGCUCCAGCAGGACUCUGCCUCCGCUGCCCUCGGUGGGAACCCCCUCAUUUGGGCAAACGCCAUCGGGCUGCUCCCCUCCCUGCCUCGGUUUCCCUCCUCCCCACUGGGGCCUCCCGGCGUCACCUCCCAAGUAAACUUCCCGCACCCCAGUCCUGGUCCCGGGUCGGCCUUUCGGGGACAGAGGUAGGACCGGGAGUGUCUGGCGUCUGGGUGGAGGGUCGCACCGGCAUGAGCACCGGGGGGCUCGGGAUGCUCCCCCCGCUGCACCCCGCUCCGGUCUUCCUGGCCCCCAGCGACCCGGGGGUGACUCACGUCCUCCCGCAAACUAUCUUUCUGAUUGAACCAACCAGAGAGGGCUCCGUGGUUCGUCACCCAAACCCGAAUGGCGCAGACCGCUGGAGCGAGAUUUAGGAGUCAAGGACUGGAUCCCGGGGGGACCGUGAGGGUGUCCAGGGAGCCACCCGGGGCCACAGAAUGCUCUGCGAGGCAUCGAUUCCAACACGCUAAGGAGUUUAUUAGAAAAGGGACAAGGUGGGGGGACGGGGCCUGGCUCAGCAGAUGGCCCCAGCUCUCAGGACUCCGUUGGGCUCAGGCCGGCUGCGGGAGCCCGGCCCAGAGCACAGCGAGGGGCAGGAGCAGCCGAGAGGGCUCCGGCCUGUGAGUGCUGCCGCGGGCCACCAGCAUCCGGAUCCAGUUGAAGUGCCUACUGACGUUGGUGUAGACCCCGGGCCGGUUGGGUCUACCGCAGCCCGAUCCCCAGCUCACGAUUCCAACCUGAAUCCACACACCUCUCUUUUCGCAGGCCAAGGGGCCACCGGAGUCACCCUGGGAAGCGGCGCGGGUGAGCCAGGCCUGGCGGCGAGUGGGGAGGGGGCGGGGGCUCCCGAGGGCCAGUGGAGACGGGAGGGACAGCAGGAGGGGCUGUGGAGCCGGGCAGACCGGGUGCACAUCCUACCCCCCACCCCGGAAGUAAACAAGCCUCAGUUUCUGCAUCUGCGAAGUGGGGCACUGGUCUCUACCCUCUGGGAUUGACACACGGACCAAAUGAGGCGCGGGCCGCCCUCGGGCUUGGGGCUGGGGUGGAGAGGGACACUCACGAAGCAGGAAUCCUUGCCUCCUUGGGAAUCGCCAGCGCACACCAUGUCCCCCCAGAUGUCGUAGCGGACCAGGGGCUGUGUGUACAGGUAGUUACACAUGGUGGUGUUGAUGAUGCCGACCUGUACUUCCUGGAGGAGGUAGGGGGCUGGCAGCACUGCCCAGGGGUCGAGGGGACAAAGAAAGACGGCACCCUGAGCCUCUCUUCUGCCAUCUGCUUGGGAGAGAUGGCACAGGCCACGGGGGAGGGGGGACGGACGAGGGUCCCUGGGGCCAGCAGCACCCGGCACGUCGUGGGGGGCGGACCCGCUGCCGCAGCUCAUCGCCGAGGCCCGGCUUCCCUGCGGGCGCGUGCGGAUGGCCAGCGGCCCCCGAGCCGGUGGGGAGGGGCCGACACAGGCGAGCAGGGUUACGGUCACGGUGGUCCAGCUGCCCGUCAGGUGCUUCCAGGCCUUUCUUGGGGCCCCCGUGGCCCUCCUAGGGCGCGGCCUGAUGGGGACCCACUCUCAGGUAAGGAAAGACUCGGCGGGGAGGGCUGCCCCUCCCACCCCCAGCAAAGCGCCGGGGAGGCGUCAGAGCCCGUCGUGAACCCAAAUCUGUCCAAUUCCGAGCCACCGGCUGAUCCGUCCGAGGACGUCACGAGGAUACCACGGUUAACGUGUAGGUGGAGCCUCUGGUCCUCCAGGCACUCUGCUGAGCCCUCAGUGAGCCCUGGCUUCUCCACUGACUCCUUCUGGGACCUUACGGCCACUUCUGUACGUCCCUCCCUUUCCUCAUCGAUAAAGCAGGUAUAAAAAUGGCCCCGCCUCAUUCUCAGGUAAGGCCCAGAAGAGAGACCUCACCCUGCUCGGUCCUCAGGGUCCAGAGCCUAGAACAGUGCCGGCACGAGGCGCGCCCUUGAGGAAACUUCUCUGCCAUCACUGCUGAGGGAGGGGUGCUGCCGGAAGGGGCCAGGCCAGGGAGGAGCAUAGGGGGCCGCCCAGGCGUAGGAGCCAGGCCCUGUGUGUGGCGCUCAGGACCCAGGGCACCUCGGGGCAGAGGUGCACGGGUGACGCUUCAGGCUGGCCCAAGGUCCGCCCCCCACAGAUUUAGUGGGGAGUCAGAGAAAGGAGAUGCUUUGACAUUGCAAAGACAGACAACGGCUCAGGACUCCAGGCAAGGAGACAGGGCGGCAAGGCAGGUGGGUGCAGAAGGUACGGAAGAGCCAAAGCGGGGAGGCGGGAUGGCUGGGGGCUGGGUGGGCACCCGUGCUGAGCGGAAAGAACGCACACAAAACCACUGAGGCCUUUCUAACGCGACCUCCGCCAACCCCGACACCCUUGCAGGCUGGGUGCGGAGCGCGGGCCUGGGCCCAGCUGGCCUCCCUCUCACUGUGGCUUCAGGCUCACGGUCUCUGGAAGGCAGAGGGAACGGGGUGUGGGGACAGGAGGUCCUGCCCUGGUGGGGGGGGGCAGGCACUGCUGGGCAGCCCCCAGGAGGGACCCAGCUGCACAGACACCCAGGUGGGGGCUGCUGAAGCCGCUGUGGACGGAACAGACGGCGGAGCCCGCAGCCCCCCUGCCCCCCCCACCUGCCCCCAGCCUCACCUUGAUCUUCUCCGAUGUUCCCCCAGCCCGUCACCCAGCAGUCAGUCUGGUUCUGGAACUCAGAGGAAGAGGCCGCAACACAGACGGGGUGGAUGUACUUAUUGUAGGUGACGGAGGAGGACAGCUUCAGCAGGGCGAUGUCAGAGGAUGAAGCCCCCAGGUACAUGGGGUUCAAAAUGAUCUCCUCCACCUGGUAUCGGUUGUAGUAGGCCUCCAGAUUCCAGAUGGACGGUGAGGCAGACAGCUCGCCAAACUGCACGGACCACUCAAAGGGAUCAGUGUGCCUGGAAGGGGAGGAGCGGGCGGUCAGGGGUCUUUACAGGAGGGAGGGGCCCUGAGCCCACCUGAGGCCUCAGGGCCUGGGGGCAGCAGCGUGCCUCCGCCUGAGGUGUGGUCACCUCAGCCAGGGGGCCGCUUCCCACAGCCGUCCUAAAAAGGAAUGAAUAGAUGCACGGGACCAGACACUUCCCGUCACCACUGUUGCCGCAGGCCAGGCUCUGUGCCCAGAGCUCACCCACCUCGGUCUGCCCCCUGGUGCACCUGCACCGGGGGAGGUGGGAUGAGGAGGGGGCGGCUGGUGCUGCCAUCCCGGGAGAAGAGAAGACAGAAAAGAACACGACACAAAAGGGCACGGGAAUGCUGUAAAGAACGUUCUGGAAAAAACGGAACAGGGUUUUCUCACGUGGCUGCAGCGGGCCCGGGGCUCGGGAGCAUAAGAGCUGAAUCCGCACCCGUCAGGCCCGGAGGACGCGUCCCCCCAACCCCCGUUCGGAGGGCCGCCCGCCCCCAGACUCACUUUUCAAAGCAGUGCGCGGCCGACAGCACCCAGCGGCGGUUGAGCAGGCUGGCGCCGCAGUGGUGGGCGCCCCACAAGCGCAGGCUGCCCUGCCACGGCCAGCGCCCCAGCUCCGAGUCCUUGCCGCCCACCACGCGCGUCGUCGAAACGGUUCGGCGGCCGCAGGGCCCUGGGACGGACAGACGGGCACGCGGCUGAGCCGCACGACCCCGGCCGCCCCACCGGCCCGCGCGAACCAACGCGAGGGGCCCCUGGGAAAACGCGCGCGUCGGGGCCGCGCCACCCAGGGACCGGGGGACCUCGCGCCCCUCCCCACGUGGCGCGCGGGCGCCGCCCUUCCCACUCACCCCCCACCCCCGGGGCCCGGCAGUUACACGUGAGCAACGACGAGUUCUCGAAACCUGCGCGGGGAGAGGAAAAGAUGAGGCGCCCCUUGCGCUCCGGCUCAGGUGCCCUGCGCGGGGAGGCGCGCGUCCCGGGCGCCUUACCUGGAAACAGCUGGUCCAGAUCCCGAACGUCUGGGGGGCCCGGAGGGGGGGAUGGCGGGCGGCCAGCCCUGGGAUCCCGGCUGCCCGGCUCGUUGCCCCCCUUCCUCCACCCAGCGCGUCUUCGGGGAAGGGCCAAGGCCGGUCCCCACCAGGACCCCCGUGAGAGCAAGUCCUCACCCAGCGCCCGCUGGGGGCCUGGCGGUAUUGGGCAGAGCCAGGAAGAGAAGAUUCGUGUUUUCCCUUCUUGGAGAAGACUCGGGGAAGUGAUGGUCUCGGGUCUCUUCCCCACCUGAGCCUACAGGCAGGCUAGUCCCUGCCAAGCCUGGCUGCCCCCUGGUGGCAGGCUCCCGCCCCCCCC